rnacentral:rRNA from 1 species
UGGGGAAUAUUGGACAAUGGGCGAAAGCCUGAUCCAGCCAUGCCGCGUGUGUGAAGAAGGCCUUCGGGUUGUAAAGCACUUUAAGCGAGGAGGAAGGUUCGCUGGCUAAUAUCCAGCGGAAUUGACGUUACUCGCAGAAUAAGCACCGGCUAACUCUGUGCCAGCAGCCGCGGUAAUACAGAGGGUGCAAGCGUUAAUCGGAAUUACUGGGCGUAAAGCGCGCGUAGGCGGUUGUGUAAGUUGGAGGUGAAAUCCCCGGGCUUAACCUGGGCACUGCCUUCAAAACUGCACGGCUAGAGUAUGGGAGAGGAAGGUAGAAUUCCAGGUGUAGCGGUGAAAUGCGUAGAGAUCUGGAGGAAUACCGAUGGCGAAGGCAGCCUUCUGGCCUAAUACUGACGCU